rnacentral:rRNA from 1 species
UACGUAGGGUGCAAGCGUUGUCCGGAAUUAUUGGGCGUAAAGAGCUCGUAGGCGGUUUGUCGCGUCUGCUGUGAAAACUCGGGGCUUAACCCCGGGCCUGCAGCCGAUACGGGCAGGCUAGAGUUCGGUAGGGGAGACUGGAAUUCCUGGUGUAGCGGUGAAAUACGCAGAUAUCAGGAGGAACACCGGUGGCGAAGGCGGGUCUCUGGGCCGAUACUGACGCUGAGGAGCGAAAGCGUGGGGAGCGAACAGG